rnacentral:lncRNA from 1 species
CAUCAGCAGUGAAAUGUUGAUGAUGCUUUCAGGGAAGCAGUGACCCUCCCUCUUAAUUUAGAUUUUUCCUCCCCGGCCCCACAAUCACACACGUCAGUAGGUCACAGGCCAGAUGCCAGUCCAAAAAAGGCAGGUAUCCUUGGGAUGGCUAUCUUAUCUUACAUCUUAGGGUAAGACUACAGCUCGUGGUAACACUAAAUCUUUGGGAAAAACAGUUUUAGGACCUAAAAUAAGCCUUUGCUCAAAUUUUUUACUCUGAAUUUAUUUGCCAUUUGAUGGAUUUAUGUCCCAGUCUCAGGAUGAGACUUGGGGAGAGCUGGGCUGCAGCUGGAGCCCUGCCAGGCUUCCAGGAGGUGUGUUAGGCGUCAAAGCCUCUCGCUGUGAUUGGUUUCUUAGGCCAAGUUCUUGGCCUUAAAACAUUUCUGGGCACACUGGGGAUUUCCUCAUCAAAUAGAAUGUAGGAAAACAAACUUGCCACAUUAAAGGACAAGUGCCAAAUCUCCCCAGUUUGGAAGGCCCUCUGCCUAGGCUGAGAGAUGGGACAGUCUAGUAUUCAUUCAGUUUGUACUCAGUGGGAUGGAGAAGAAAUGGCUCCUGCCCUCAAAUAGCUGGCAAGUCAACAUCAAGAACAGGCGCGUGCGUGGCCCGGCUCAGCUCCCAUCCUCUGUUUGAGUCUCGGGCUGCUCUCUGGGAGGUCUCGCCCUUCACUUUGGGCUGUGACAUUGGACACAAAACAGCCUGAGUCACAUGUGGCAGUCUUGUCCCCUCCUUGAUUUCCCAGGCCCACCCUUCAGGGCUUCUGCUGCAAACAGUCAUAUAUG